GACUAGAUGGAGGGACUGGGUACAUGGUUGGUUUCAUGGUCGCUACCUUUUGUAGAUGCAUCUUGUGUUGCAUGCGUACGUCCACUUUGUUUGGGAGUAGUCUAGACAUAUGGCCUUUCCUUUCCCUUUUCAUUCUCGCUCAGCUUAAAUCCAGGAUAUCGCGCGGACCUUAACUAUGUAUACACGUAGAUACUCUGGAGCUCUUCAGCGGUAUUUGAUUGACAACGAAGAGAGAAAAGAAGUGGGACUUUUCCGAAAAGCAAGCUCCCCUUAUCAACAAUUCCAAGGUUGUGCAUACAGUGCCCACCAUGCGUAAAUAUAUAUCCGUUCCAUCAUUCCUCUGCUAUGAAGGCUGC
rnacentral:sRNA from 2 species